ensembl:lncRNA
CCAGAUCCUUGGCUCCCUAUGGCUCCUUAUGGCUCCCUAUGGCCCUGGACCUGUGGUUCCCUAUGGCACCAGAUCCCUGGCCCCCUGUGGCUCCCUAUGACUCCCUAUGGCUCCCUGUGGCUCCCUAUGACACCAGAUCCCUGGCUCCCUAUGGCCUUGGCUCCCUAUGGCCCACGCUCCCUGCUUCCCUAUGGCAUCAGAUCCCUGCUUCCCCACGGCAUCAGAUCCCUAUGGCUCCCCUAUGGCUCCCCUAUGGCUCCCCAUGGCUCCCCAUGGCUCCCCUAUGGCUCCCAAUGGCUCCCUAUGGCUCCCAAUGGCUCCCUGUGGAUCCCUAUGGCCUUGGAUCCCUGCUUCCCUAUGGCAUCAGAUCCUUGGUUCCCUAUGGCCCUGGCUCCCUGCUUCCCUAUGGCAUCAGAUCCCUGCUUCCCCACGG